CUUCCUCACUUAGCUUCCAUAGAACGAGAGCUGCUUUAACCCGCGCUUUGUUUACUGGGCAUGGAUACAAAACAAGACAGUGUUUGAAUCAUAAUGGCUAUGGGCUGUUAGCCCAAAGCCGCUUUAUUAAUAAAAUUUGUCAAAAUAUAUAAUUUGCUCUGAUAAAUCUAAAAAUUGCCCAGUAAAGGUGAGGGCAAACAACGCCAAAUGCAUGGUGGGUGAUAAUCCACAAUGCAGCCCCACCCAAGGGAAAAAGCAGCACUCGAGAACGAUAGCACAUAUAAGCUACAAUCAUACCUUCGCAUAGUGUUGCUACUUAAAGCAAAAACAAAAUGCUUUGUCAAUUAUCCAAUCACAACACAACAAGGACACAGCCCAUGCAAAUGUUUCCUGUAUUGUGACAGGAGAAAAGUAAAUGCCAAUUUGAUAAAGGCGGCAGACUUUCGCCCUUAUGAACAAGCUACUAACAAAGCAAUUGUACCGCAAAGACACCGCCCAUGCAAGUGAUUGCCAGUACUAUGCAA